ACGUUUUUUUCAUAGAGAUUUAGAUUUAAGGUUAGAAGAAUUGUGGAAGUCGUGAGACUUCCCUUUUUUCAUCUUAACGUUUGCUAUCCUUUCUUUAUUUAUAUGUUUCCCUAAGUGUGUUACAAAAAAAAUAAAAGGAUAAGUAAACCUAAAAAGCCAUCUUCGUGAGAAGGGGCUUUUUU
rnacentral:sRNA from 1 species